CUUCUCUGACUUUCUUGUCUUCUUCGCUGUCAACAAGUUCGUUCAAUCUCAGGGUCUACAGUGAGUAAAUCAAUUAUUCGGUCAAUACUCAUAAACACCUGAAAUAAUAAAAGAAAAAUUAACUAAGUUAAAAUUUGAAAAAAAAAACCAAAAUGCAAAACUAACAACUUCACAAAUAAUGACUUUAUUUUAAAACACAGUCCCCGGCAACGGCGCCAAAAACUUGGAACAAUGAAAAUGUGCAAGUGUACACAAUCGCAACAAGUAAUAAAGUGACAAGUAAAUGUCAAGUUAUCG
rnacentral:lncRNA from 1 species